rnacentral:rRNA from 1 species
UACCAAAAAGCUAAGUCAUAGUUUUUGGUUAAAAGGUGGUUAGGUCAUGAUGAGGUUUAAGAAGAUUUUUAUGUAUAGGUAAAAUUUGAACAUGAAACUAUAUUUUAUAUUAAGCUAGAAUCACUGAAUCCACGAAAUCUUUGAUGUAAACUGGGAUUGGAUACCCCACUAUUCUUAGACGUAAAUAACUAUAUACCAGAGUACUAUGAGCAAAGUUUAAAACUCAAAGAACUUGGCGGUGCUUUACACCAUUUAGGGGAACCUGUCUCGUAAUCGACAAUCCACGGGAUACCUUACCUUUUCUUGUAAGACAACUUGUAUACCGUUGUCGCCAGGUAACUCUUCAAGAUUAUACAGUUAGCUAAUUAGUUGAUAUACUAAGACGUCAAAUCAAGGUGCAGUUGAUGAAAAGGAGAAGAUGGGUUACAAUUAUAAAUUUAUAAGUACGGAAUAGCAGGGGAAAAUGGCUAGGAAGGCGGACUUAAAAGUAAAGUUCUAUAUAUAAAUUUCUUGAAAGGGGCUCUGAAGCGCGC